GGGUCAUUAGUAUAGUGGUAGUAUGCCUGCUUCGGGUGCAGGUGACCCCGGUUCAAACCCGGGAUGACCCC
rnacentral:tRNA from 5 species